UUGAAAGCGAGUCAAGCAUUCCAAUCCCAGCGGAUGAGUCAAUAGCAGCAGAGUCAUGAAAAGAGCUAAAAGCAGCCUUUCUCUACAUACGAAACCACCAGGUACAUUUGCGUAUGAAACAAGAGCAGCUUCUUCUAGCUUAUUCAACCUCCCUUCAAUUCAUGAGACUUGGAAACUCUUGAUUCAGCAGUGAGGUCUAAAAAGACUCCCCUUCUCUCUAUCCUUAGCUCUAGUCAAGUGCUAUAGCAAGCUCACCCUGUGUUCAUCCGGGGACUCUAAUUCUUUUGAAGAGCCGAACUCUCUUCGGCAUUCGAUGCCUCUGCCUUACCUUUUUCUCAACAAAAGGAAAGAGUGAGAGCCUCGUAUAGAUGACUCCGGUAGGCGAGGACUCAAUUGCUUGGGUGCAUCGAUCAAAGUUAUGAUCUAGGGGCGCUAAAAGCAGAGAUUCGGGCUUUUUCCAGUCUUAUUCCUACCCUCUCCGCUGGGAAAUCCCUCUGCGGCCAGACUAUAGCUUGGUCUUUGUACUAGUUCUGCUUUCACAUGCUCUUUAACUUGCCUUCCGCAGGUUUCGAAGGAUACGUGCCAUUUUCCUUCACUCGAAAGAAGAGUCAGUGCUCUCCCUUUCAUUUCCAAUGAAAGAAAAAAGAAAUGAACAUCCCGAAGUCGAAAAGGAUAGGCAGAUUAAAAAAGAAAAGGAUGAAAUGAUGAAUACACAGGAGGAUCAGACGAAGAAUCGCGAUCUAUGGCAAUUUUAGUUUCAACAGAAGGCCAGUUCAAGUCAUCUCAUUGAUGUUCAUCACCUGUCACAACUCUCGAUAAAUGGCUUUCUUUUUGAAGCCUACAGGAGCUCGUGAUCUUCCUUGAUUUCAGGAAUGAGUUAGCCUAUAGUAUAAUAUUUUUUAAGAUUACCCCCUCAUUGAGUAUGAAAUUCUUAGUGUACCAUAGGCGGUAAUCUGGCUUGAAUCGAUUCCUUUAUAGUGGAAGGGGCUAGCCUGCCUUGAACUUGAAGUGGGUCUCUCCCAUAUCUGUUUAACUGGCCUUUUGACUACAAAGAGAUUGCCAUAGAUCGAAACGGAUUCCAGGUGUAUUCCGAAGGCUAACUGAACUAAACGAACGAGCUAUCAGAUCGAUUGAAGAGAUCCUACGCCUGAACUCAUGCACUCAUAAACUGGCUUAGACCGGCUUGAACAGCUUACCCCUACUAUACUAUACGGUCCAUUCACAUUCCUUAUUUCCCUUAUUUGAAUGAUCAUUAUUUGUGAGAGUCUUAAUUCAUUCUUCCCUUGACAACUGAGCUUUCCCCUUCCUGUAUAGAAGCCUAAAGUAAAGUAUGGGCCUAAGACUCCACUUUGGUUGAGUAUCCACCGCUACGAAGCAAGAACUGGAGACUNNNNN
rnacentral:lncRNA from 1 species